rnacentral:rRNA from 1 species
UACGUAGGGUGCGAGCGUUACUCGGAAUUACUGGGCGUAAAGCGUGCGCAGGCGGCGCGUUAAGACAGGUGUGAAAGCCCCGAGCUUAACUUGGGAAUUGCGCUUGUGACUGGCGUGCUGGAGUGUGGCAGAGGGAGGUGGAAUUCCACGUGUAGCAGUGAAAUGCGUAGAGAUGUGGAGGAACACCGAUGGCGAAGGCAGCCUCCUGGGCCAGCACUGACGCUCAGGCACGAAAGCGUGGGGAGCAAACAGG